rnacentral:rRNA from 1 species
ACUACGUACGUUCUAUGCGUCCUGCAGUCGAGCGGAUGAGAGUCUUUUACGGCAGACGGGUGAGUAAUGCCUAGGAAUCUGCCUGGUAGUGGGGGAUAACGUUCCGAAAGGAACGCUAAUACCGCAUACGUCCUACGGCAGAAAGCAGGGGACCUUCAGGCCUUGCACUAUCACAUGAGCCUAUGUCGGAUUAGCUAGUUGGUGAGGUAAUGGCCCAGGCGACGAUCCCUAUCUGGUCUGAGAGGAUGAUCAGUCACACUGGAACUGAWACWCRGACCAGACUCCUACUGGAGGCAGCAGUGGGGAAUAUUGAACAAUGGGCGAAAGCCUGAUCCAGCCAUGCCGCGUGUGUGAAGAAGGUCUUCGGAUUGUAAAGCACUUUAAGUUGGGAGGAAGGGCAUUAACCUAAUACUUUAGUGUUUUGACGUUACCAACACAAUAAGCACCGGCUAACUUCCUGCCAGCUUCCGCGGUAAUACAAAGGGUGCAAGCGUUAAUCGGAAUUACUGGGCUUAAACCGCGCGUACGUGGUUCGUGAAGUUGSAUGUGAAAUCCCCGGGCUCAACCUGGGAACUGCAUCCUCAACUGGCGAGCUAGAGUACGGUAUAGGGUAGUGGAAUUUCCUGUGUAGCGGUGAAAUGCAUAGAUAUAUAGAAGGAACACCAGUGCCGAAGGCGACUACCUGCACUGAUACUGACACUGAUGUGCGAAAGCGUGGCGAGCAAAGGGAUUAGAUACCCUGGUAAUCCACGCCGUACACGAUAUCAACUAGCCUUUGGGUUCCUUGAGAACUUUCUGGCCCACCUAACGCAUUACGUUGACCGCCUGGGGAGUACGGGCCCCCCCGUUAAAACUCAAAUGAAUUGACUUGGGCCCGCACAAGC